rnacentral:rRNA from 1 species
UACGUAGGGUGCAAGCGUUGUCCGGAAUUAUUGGGCGUAAAGAGCUCGUAGGCGGUCUGUCGCGUCUGCUGUGAAAACUCAGGGCUUAACCCUGAGCUUGCAGUGGGUACGGGCAGGCUCGAGUUCGGUAGGGGAGACUGGAAUUCCUGGUGUAGCGGUGAAAUGCGCAGAUAUCAGGAAGAACACCCGUGGCGAAAGCGGCUCUCUGGAACGGUACUGACGCUGAGACGCGAAAGCGUGGGGAGCGAACAGG